UUAAACUGAAGAGUUUGAUCAUGGCUCAGAUUGAACGCUGGCGGCAGGCCUAACACAUGCAAGUCGAACGCGAAAGUGACUUCGGUCGCGAGUAGAGUGGCGGAC
rnacentral:rRNA from 1 species